GAUAAUCCAUGUGAUGAAUUUUAAAAAUUAAAAUACAAUAUGGAUGACCAUAUCAGAGUUGAUAGUUAAACCCUAGGUUAUCUUAAGUGUUUGGGUUAAAGAAAUGAAUUAUACGGCAACCAUAUGCCAAUAGGUUCUUGAAUGAUGCUUCACAAUCUUUCGACCUAUCCGGAUGUCGGGUAUCAUUGCUACAUGAUCACUUUGAUUGGUAUAGAAAGAUUAUUUCUAUAAUAUUAGCUUAGGUUCAAACCUAUAGGGUCACACUCAAAAAAAAUUUCUGACAGAUCAUAUGGC
rnacentral:lncRNA from 1 species